AUUGAACGCUGGCGGCAGGCCUAACACAUGCAAGUCGAACGAGUGGCGGACGGGUGAGUAAUGUCUCGGAAACUGCCUGAUGGCGGGGGAUAACUACUGGAAACGGUAGCUAAUACCGCAUACCAUCGGAUGUGCCCAGAUGGGAUUAGCUAGUUGGUGGGGUAAAGGCUCACCUAGGCAACGAUCCCUAGCUGGUCUGAGAGGAUGACCAGCCACACUGGAACUGAGACACGGUCCAGACUCCUACGGGAGGCAGCAGUGGGGAAUGUUGGACAAUGGGCGAAAGCCUGAUACAGCCAUGCCGCGUGUAUGAAGAAGGCCUUCGGGUUGGAAAGUACUUUCGGCGGGGAGGCGUUACCCGCAGAAGAAGCACCGGCUAACUCCGUGCCAGCAGCCGCGGUAAUUC
rnacentral:rRNA from 1 species